rnacentral:misc_RNA from 1 species
CUUAAUUUGGACAACAAUAACCUCAAUGGUUCUAUCAAUAUCAACUGUUCUGCAAUGAUUCAUCUCGUUUCUCUGUAUCUUGGUUCAAAUAAUUUCCAUGGUCCAAUCCCUGAAACCUUCUCCUCUUGCCACAGCUUGAGUAUUUUAGAUCUUAGUGGAGACAAACUUGGUGGAGAAGUCCCUUCCAACUUCAAGAAUCUGCAGGCCCUGACGUCCCUCUCACUCUCAAAUACAAACAUUACAAACAUAUCGGCA